rnacentral:rRNA from 1 species
AGUAAUGUCUGGGAAACUGCCUGAUGAGGGGGAGUAACUACUGGAAACGGUAGCUAAUACCGCAUAACGUCGCAAGACCAAAUGGGGGACCUUCGGGCCUCAUGCCAUCAGAUGUGCCCAGAUGGGAUUAGCUAGUAGGUGGGGUAACGGCUCACCUAGGCGACGAUCCCUAGCUGGUCUGAGAGGAUGCCAGCCACACUGGAACUGAGACACGGUCCAG